rnacentral:misc_RNA from 1 species
GGGAGAGAAUACAUAGGAAUCCUUUGGUUGGUUUUUAUAAAGUACGGCUAAAGGAUCUAUAUUUUAUUUUAAUUUUGCAUAUUGAGAAGGGAAAUGAUAAAUAAAGGUGUUAAUUGAUGUAAUAAAAUCAUUGCCUGAUUCCUUUCUUUCUUUUUUCCUCCUCUUUUUUCCUGAGGCGAACAUUAUUUCAAAUUGUUAGAUUUGUGUUGGUAUUUUCCAUGGUUUGGAAAGCAUAUGAAAACUAGAACUUUGGUUUACUGCAAAG